rnacentral:rRNA from 1 species
UACGUAGGGUGCAAGCGUUAAUCGGAAUUACUGGGCGUAAAGCGUGCGAAGGCGGUUGUGCAAGACAGAUGUGAAAUCCCCGGGCUCAACCUGGGAAUUGCAUUUGUGACUGCACGGCUAGAGUGUGUCAGAGGGGGGUAGAAUUCCACGUGUAGCAGUGAAAUGCGUAGAGAUGUGGAGGAAUACCGAUGGCGAAGGCAGCCCCCUGGGAUAACACUGACGCUCAUGCACGAAAGCGUGGGGAGCAAACAGG